AAGGCGUAGUCGAUGGGAAACGGGUUAAUAUUCCCGUACUUGGUGUUACUGCGAAGGGGGGACGGAGAAGGCUAUGUUGGCCGGGCGACGGUUGUCCCGGUUUAAGCGUGUAGGUGUGUGUUCCAGGUAAAUCCGGUUCACUUUAACACUGAGGCGUGACGACGAGGCACUACGGUGCUGAAGCAACAAAUGCCCUGCUUCCAGGAAAAGCCUCUAAGCAUCAGGUAACAUCAAAUCGUACCCCAAACCGACACAGGUGGUCAGGUAGAGAAUACCAAGGCGCUUGAGAGAACUCGGGUGAAGGAACUAGGCAAAAUGGUGCCGUAACUUCGGGAGAAGGCACGCUGACACGUAGGUGAAGUGAUUUACUCAUGGAGCUGAAGUCAGUCGAAGAUACCAGCUGGCUGCAACUGUUUAUUAAAAACACAGCACUGUGCAAACACGAAAGUGGACGUAUACGGUGUGACGCCUGCCCGGUGCCGGAAGGUUAAUUGAUGGGGUCAGCGCAAGCGAAGCUCCUGAUCGAAGCCCCGGUAAACGGCGGCCGUAACUAUAACGGUCCUAAGGUAGCGAAAUUCCUUGUCGGGUAAGUUCCGACCUGCACGAAUGGCGUAAUGAUGGCCAGGCUGUCUCCACCCGAGACUCAGUGAAAUUGAACUCGCUGUGAAGAUGCAGUGUACCCGCGGCAAGACGGAAAGACCCCGUGAACCUUUACUAUAGCUUGACACUGAACAUUGAGCCUUGAUGUGUAGGAUAGGUGGGAGGCUUUGAAGUGUGGACGCCAGUCUGCAUGGAGCCGACCUUGAAAUACCACCCUUUAAUGUUUGAUGUUCUAACGUGGACCCGUUACCCGGGUUGCGGACAGUGUCUGGUGGGUAGUUUGACUGGGGCGGUCUCCUCCUAAAGAGUAACGGAGGAGCACGAAGGUUGGCUAAUCCUGGUCGGACAUCAGGAGGUUAGUGCAAUGGCAUAAGCCAGCUUGACUGCGAGCGUGACGGCGCGAGCAGGUGCGAAAGCAGGUCAUAGUGAUCCGGUGGUUCUGAAUGGAAGGGCCAUCGCUCAACGGAUAAAAGGUACUCCGGGGAUAACAGGCUGAUACCGCCCAAGAGUUCAUAUCGACGGCGGUGUUUGGCACCUCGAUGUCGGCUCAUCACAUCCUGGGGCUGAAGUAGGUCCCAAGGGUAUGGCUGUUCGCCAUUUAAAGUGGUACGCGAGCUGGGUUUAGAACGUCGUGAGACAGUUCGGUCCCUAUCUGCCGUGGGCGCUGGAGAACUGAGGGGGGCUGCUCCUAGUACGAGAGGACCGGAGUGGACGCAUCACUGGUGUUCGGGUUGUCAUGCCAAUGGCACUGCCCGGUAGCUAAAUGCGGAAGAGAUAAGUGCUGAAAGCAUCUAAGCACGAAACUUGCCCCGAG
rnacentral:rRNA from 1 species